rnacentral:rRNA from 1 species
CAUAGGUUAAUGAGGCGAACCGGGGGAACUGAAACAUCUAAGUACCCCGAGGAAAAGAAAUCAACCGAGAUUCCCCCAGUAGCGGCGAGCGAACGGGGAGGAGCCCAGAGCCUGAAUCAGUGUGUGUGUUAGUGGAAGCGUCUGGAAAGGCGCGCGAUACAGGGUGACAGCCCCGUACACAAAAAUGCACAUGCUGUGAGCUCGAUGAGUAGGGCGGGACACGUGGUAUCCUGUCUGAAUAUGGGGGGACCAUCCUCCAAGGCUAAAUACUCCUGACUGACCGAUAGUGAACCAGUACCGUGAGGGAAAGGCGAAAAGAACCCCGGCGAGGGGAGUGAAAAAGAACCUGAAACCGUGUACGUACAAGCAGUGGGAGCCUCUUUAUGGGGUGACUGCGUACCUUUUGUAUAAUGGGUCAGCGACUUAUAUUCUGUAGCAAGGUUAACCGAAUAGGGGAGCCGAAGGGAAACCGAGUCUUAACUGGGCGUUAAGUUGCAGGGUAUAGACCCGAAACCCGGUGAUCUAGCCAUGGGCAGGUUGAAGGUUGGGUAACACUAACUGGAGGACCGAACCGACUAAUGUUGAAAAAUUAGCGGAUGACUUGUGGCUGGGGGUGAAAGGCCAAUCAAACCGGGAGAUAGCUGGUUCUCCCCGAAAGCU